rnacentral:lncRNA from 1 species
GGUGUCCGUCCUCCCCCACGGAGCGGGCCAGCCAGGGAGAGAGUGCGGGCGGAUCCUCUGUGGCGUGUUGUGAGGGGAAAGCCUCCCCGAGGAGACGGCGGCGGCGGCCAUGGGGCGGGGGCUGCUGCCAGCGGAGGCGCCCGGGGACGCAGGUUGAGGUGAGAGCGGCCAGGCGCCUUCCCACACCGCCGGGCUGGGCGGUGCCGAGGGCUGGCUGCAGGCGGAGGAGGAGGAGGAAGCAGCAGCCGCCAGGAUAUUCCUGAAUGAACGGCUCUUCCCUCACCCCACACCUCCGCCCGCCUCCCGCCUCCCGCCCGCUACUCGCCGGUGUCGCUUCGCGGCGCAGCCAGUUUCUAUAGCGACGGGGGCCGAUCCGCGCCGCUACCCAGUAGUAACAAAGCCGGCUGCCCGCUGCCGCGCCGGGGCUGAGGCGGGGUGUGGGGAGGGGAACACCGGCUCCCUCUCACGAAGGCACCCCAGACAGAUGGAUGCCUGGCUCGGAGUAAAGGGCAUGCAGUGCACAGUCCCUAGCAGAAGCUGAAAAGGGAUGACACCUACUGAUGCUUGUCGACAAUGUCUUCUCCUCUCUUCCUGUUUGAGAUGGGUGAUACGACCAUCAGGAAAAAGUUCUAAAAUAAGCUUGAGUGACCUCAUCGCCCCUUGACUCCUCUUUCCACAAG